UACGUAGGGUGCGAGCGUUAAUCGGAAUUACUGGGCGUAAAGUGUGCGCAGGCGGCCGCGCAAGUCGAGUGUGAAAGCCCCGGGCUUAACUUGGGAAUUGCGCUCGAAACUACGUGGCUGGAGUGUGGCAGAGGAAGGUGGAAUUCCACGUGUAGCGGUGAGAUGCGUAGAGAUGUGGAGGAACACCAAUGGCGAAGGCAGCCUUCUGGGCCAACACUGACGCUCAUGCACGAAAGCGUGGGGAGCAAACAGG
rnacentral:rRNA from 1 species